rnacentral:rRNA from 1 species
UACGAGGGGGGCAAGCGUUGUUCGGAAUUAUUGGGCGUAAAGGGUGCGUAGGCGGUUUGACAAGUCUCAUGUGAAAUCUUCGGGCUCAACCCGAAGCCUGCAUGGGAAACUGUCGGGCUUGAGUAUGGGAGAGGUGAGUGGAAUUUCCGGUGUAGCGGUGAAAUGCGUAGAGAUCGGGAGGAACACCAGUGGCGAAGGCGGCUACCUGGACCAGCACUGACACUGAGGCACGAAAGCGUGGGGAGCAAACAGG